GUGCCUAAUACAUGCAAGUAGAACGCUGAAGAGAGGAGCUUGCUCUUCUUGGAUGAGUUGCGAACGGGUGAGUAACGCGUAGGUAACCUGCCUGUUAGCGGGGGAUAACUAUUGGAAACGAUAGCUAAUACCGCAUAACAAUGGGUGACACAUGUCAUUUAUUUGAAAGGGGCAAUUGCAUCACUAACAGAUGGACCUGCGUUGUAUUAGCUAGUUGGUGAGGUAACGGCUCACCAAGGCGACGAUACAUAGCCGACCUGAGAGGGUGAUCGGCCACACUGGGACUGAGACACGGCCCAGACUCCUACGGGAGGCAGCAGUAGGGAAUCUUCGGCAAUGGGGGGAACCCUGACCGAGCAACGCCGCGUGAGUGAAGAAGGUUUUCGGAUCGUAAAGCUCUGUUGUAAGAGAAGAACGGGUGUGAGAGUGGAAAGUUCACACUGUGACGGUAACUUACCAGAAAGGGACGGCUAACUACGUGCCAGCAGCCGCGGUAAUACGUAGGUCCCGAGCGUUAUCCGGAUUUAUUGGGCGUAAAGCGAGCGCAGGCGGUUAGAUAAGUCUGAAGUUAAAGGCUGUGGCUUAACCAUAGUAUGCUUUGGAAACUGUUUAACUUGAGUGCAGAAGGGGAGAGUGGAAUUCCAUGUGUAGCGGUGAAAUGCGUAGAUAUAUGGAGGAACACCGGUGGCGAAAGCGGCUCUCUGGUCUGUAACUGACGCUGAGGCUCGAAAGCGUGGGGAGCAAACAGGAUUAGAUACCCUGGUAGUCCACGCCGUAAACGAUGAGUGCUAGGUGUUAGGCCCUUUCCGGGGCUUAGUGCCGCAGCUAACGCAUUAAGCACUCCGCCUGGGGAGUACGACCGCAAGGUUGAAACUCAAAGGAAUUGACGGGGGCCCGCACAAGCGGUGGAGCA
rnacentral:rRNA from 1 species